AGAGUUUGAUCAUGGCUCAGGAUGAACGCUAGCUACAGGCUUAACACAUGCAAGUCGAGGGGGAAACGACAUCGAAAGCUUGCUUUUGAUGGGCGUCGACCGGCGCACGGGUGAGUAACGCGUAUCCAACCUGCCCACCACUUGGGGAUAACCUUGCGAAAGUAAGACUAAUACCCAAUGACGUCUCUAGAAGACAUCUGAAAGGGAUUAAAGAUUUAUCGGUGAUGGAUGGGGAUGCGUCUGAUUAGCUUGUUGGCGGGGUUAACGGCCCACAAGGCUACGAUCAGUAGGGGUUCUGAGAGGAAGGUCCCCACAUUGGAACUGAGACACGGUCCAAACACCUACGGGAGGCA
rnacentral:rRNA from 1 species